rnacentral:lncRNA from 1 species
UACUUUUUUUUUUUUUUUUUUUGUCGAAACGGUAGAAUUUUUAUAAUCUAAUUUAUUCUAAUUUAAGGGGAAGGGGAGGGAGAUUCGAUAUGAGUAGAGACUCCAUCGAAAAAAAUCAAUUAAAACUGCCAGCUAAAAUGACAAUUUGGUGGGAGGCAAGAGUUGAACCCUAUCUCCCACCUCACCAAGAGUGGUGGUGGCCAUUGAGCUAGAGAUCUGUGGUUCCAGUGCGCACUCCAAUCCCACUGAAUAUGGCAAGCUGGGGAAAAAAAAAAGAGAGGAAAAAGCAACGUUACAAAUGAUUACUAGAAGGUAGUGAGCGCUUUAACAGAAUUUAGGUGCUGCAUUUGACAGGAUGUUGGGUCCAAAAAAGAGAGUUGAUCAUAAUGCCAUGGUCCUUUGUCAAUGAUUUUAAUCACUUUCGGGGUUCAAUCUUUGGGUUCGACAUAAUUGACUUGGAUGGGACAUGAUACAAAUUACUUGCACAUUAUUAUUGUUAUUAUGAGAGUCUCUCCAGCCUCCGUACAAUUAAUUAUAUAUGAAAUCAGGACCAAACCUAACUUCAGCAGAUGCUAAACUGUGCAACAACUGCUUUAACCUGGAAAAGAAAAACAAACUGUCUAUCCACCCCUCAAAGCACAUUUACUGAAGGCCGCACAGCAAUGAAAAUAGCUGGAUAUGAAUGCUCGAACCAAUCCAUUGGUUAUCUUGCCUUGCAGUUCUGGAUUCUCCUCCCCAUCUCUCCCGAAGACAUGGAAGCCCGGGGGGAGGGGGUUCUGGUGACCGAGGGGUUCUGCCUCAGAGGUUACAAAGAAAGAAAAUCAUUACAUCCAGUUACACAUUUGCUAAACCACUGGACCAAUGGCUCAGUGACCACCAGAGAGGGGCUUAAAUCCCUCCUUGGACUGUAGGCGGUGAGGAUUCAAUCCUUACCUGCAGCGAAAAAAAUCUAAAAAUUUUGUUACAACACUCUCUUGGUCUAGUUGGAUCUAUAUACCCACUAACCCCCUACCACAACUUCCUUAGGCUCCCCCUCCCCCCUAGAUUAGGAUAAAAUAGGUUAUACAAAUGUAUCGUUGCUGACAAAAAAAAAAAAUUACACAUUUGCUAAGAAUUAAAAUCACUGAGGCACAAAUUAACCAUUGAUCUAAAAUUUCAAAUGACGUGAACAUUCUCCGUUGUCUACUCGAUUUUAACACAAUAGUAAAAGAAGGCACAAGCAGAUCCGUCCAAAGAUUGCAUAAAGAUGAUAAUUUUUUUAAGACUCAAUAAUGAUCUGAAAUAGUCCACCAAGUUCCAGGGAAAGAACUGAGGACAUCCCGCUAGAAAUACAUCAGAUGACUAAUCAAGAACUUCAAGGCAUAAUUCCCUGAAUUGCCAUGUCAUUGCCCAAGGCAAAAAGCAGUUACAUAACUCAUAGAUCAAUGACACGAGAGAGCUUCUGAAUACGAUUCAACAAGAAAUCUCCCUGCUUGAUGGUUGCCUGGUAGAGGGCAUUCUUUGCAUCUGGACGAUUAGUUUCGAGCACACCUGCUACUUUAUCGAUCUUGCAGUGUAGCUUUCCCGCGGCAAUAAAGCGGGACAGCUCCCUGCAGAAGAAUUAAAUACCCAAACAUCAAUUUAUUUGUAUAAUGACAGUAAUUUGAAGUUACAGGUAAGAGCUCAUAGGAUCAAGAUACAUGACAAACUUACAAGUCAAUGAAAUCCACAGUCACCCCAAAUGCUUUUGCCAUAGCUUCAAUGGUAACGCUCUUGUAGGACUCGAGGAAUUGCGAAUAAACCACACUUCUAACCUCCCUCAUGUAAUACCGGAAGUGUGGGUACAAGUACCGGUCCAAUUUAAUAUACUCAGUUAAGCCAGCUGAAAGUCAUUUGAAUAAAUUGAAUAAGACAAACUGCAAAUAAGUAACAAAACAUUGGUCCAAACUGUGAUAUUUCAACAGAGGAGACGGCAGUUUCUGUGAAUAGCAGAAACACUGAAGCAGAUAACUAUAUCAGAUUUUUUAACAAUUACUACUUAUAGAAAAUUAAAGAAAAAGUGAAGAAUUUUAAAAAAUCCUUAAUCUAGAAAAGAAGUAGCUAGCUCAAAUCUGAACAAACAUAUAGCAUAUUAAUUUGUCACAUAUUUAAGCAGCGCGGAGCCAGUCCCUAAGAACAACCCAAGUCCAAUCUGCACCACAAGCCAGUCUGGGGAAGGAGGGAAGGCUGGAUUUGACAUUAUAUGUUCAAGAGCCUAUGCCCUUAAAGUUCCUCUUUUCUAUCGAGAAUGAGGUAUUUCAUAAAUAUGUUUGUAAGAUAGUGACAUAAAUUAAACAGCAUUUAUACUUACCAAAAGCAGAGAAAAAUGAUUUAUAUUGACAAUCAUAAAGUGAGUUCAAAAACUCUGACAAAAAUGGGAUUUUCCCAAUAACUGCCAAGAUCUCUGGGGCAUCAACAACCUGCCACAAACAGCACAGGCACCAUAAGUUCUACUUCAUCCCUUUUAUCAUCAUCUUCCAGAAAAAGAUGAAAAGUACUAGAAUGUCAUCAAGGGGAUGUGGUUAGACAGGAAUGAAAAUAUGAUUGCUUAUUUGAUCUACAAUUGAACCAGACUCAUCUUAAAAAAAAUGAAUACCUUCUGUUUCAGGGAAACUCUGUCUAGUGAUAUGAUGCUUGUAAGGACAGUGUAAAAUAUGAAGGUGUCAUAGGUAAAAAGUUCGUAAGUUGUAAAAGUUGAAAUGGAAUCAAGAAAAAGAUUUGCUGCUUUCUUGAAGUUACGUGUUGACAUGCAGAACAAGCCCUCAUACACCUUCAACCUGUUCUUUCUUUCCCAGUCACCUCCUUCUUCAAACAAGCUGCAAACCAUAAGUCAAGAGCAAAUAUUAAGGAAAACUGGAGCACAUUAAGCUAUAAUAUAAGUGUGUAUAUAUUAUUGAAGAUCAACACACAUAUAUAUAUAUACAUAUAUAUAUAUAUAUAUAUAUAUAUAUAUAUCCUUUACUUCUUUGCUUUAUCAAUACUCUUUGAUAUGAGAUCAAAGUCCAUAUAGAAGAAACCAAUCUGCAGUGUGUGGAAAACUAGGUCCAUCUUUUGGCCAACUGCAACUGUUUUACUUUCUGUGACUUUGAGCUGUUCAAGGGCCUUCUCCUGGAUUCAUUGUGAAGCAAAUAUCCAAAAAAAAAAAAAAGGUUAAAUCACAACAAGAGAUAUGGAGGUACAAUGAUGGAAAAAAAAGUUCACUCGUCUACCUUAUCACUAAUUCGGAUGUAAAAUAAGGAUUUAGCCAAAUGAGCUUCUCUAACUUCACUUUCUCCCAGGUUCUCCUCUGCAUCAGCAAUCCUAGAAAGUAGAUGAAUAAAGACUAAAGAAGAGCCACAAAAAAAUAGCAUAUGGAGCUCUAUAAGCAGGAAAACAAAUCUAUUCAUGCCAACUCAUGAAAAGACCUCAUAAUGAAGAAUUUGUGCACCUAUACACCAAAAGCUAAGGAAAUGAGGAAAAAGGACAAACAGCAAAAUAUAUAUCACUAGGAACACUCUUGUCAAAAUGACAUAUUGGAAUAACCAUCAGCUACAGAUUUUAGUACCAGUAACAAGAACCAGCGAAUAACUAUCAGAUUGACUGCCUCAAGGGAGAUUUUUAUACACAAUUACCAGUAAAACAGCAAUAGAAGGACAUGAGGGCUACAUAGCAUGUAAUAUCUAACAAGGAUUACCUAGCGACUGCUAAUACUUCACAAGUCAGGUUGACAUUUGAGCCUUAUGAGUAGUAGUUCUUACUUUCUACUUUUUUAAGGAAAAUUCUAACACAAUAGAAUAGGAACAAGGGGAAAAAAAUUAAGAGCUAUAAAGAUUUGCCAUAAAGGGGGGACAGGAAAGUGCAUAAAAAGGGGUAGACUCUCUAGUCCAUUUUGACAAAUAAGAGAUGCCAAAAUCCUAUGGUUCAUCAUUCAAAUGUAUGACUGAUAUCUAAUUGCCAGUUUUACAUUUUCAUCUGCAUAAGCUAACCCAAUUUUUUUAAAAAAUUAUAUGCAACUAGAAAUUGAGAUAACAAAUCACACAGUUCACUCUAAUUUGUUUGUAACUGUGUGCACAAACUCGUAUCGUCUAUAUUGAGGGAGGAUCAACAUAAGGAGACGUAGCUUCUUUUGACAUUCCUACAUGUUUGGAGUUUCAUGUGCAUUUAAUAUCAUAACACUAUAGGCCACCAGUUCAAAAGCCAUCUUUCCAUACCAUAUAUAUCAUCAAAAGACAGUUUUCAAUACUCAUUUGAUGAAGUGCAAGCAAACCAGGACUGUCUUCUUACUAAUUUUCAGACUCCUUUUGAACGUACUAAGAAUGAAUAAACAAAUCAACAAAAGAAGCACCUUCACCUCUCAUUUGAGUUGAACCUAACAUGUGACAGCAUGGUAACCGGGACUCCAAUGUUUCAGAAUUAACCUCUAAAACCAAUUAAACCUACUCUUGCCAGAAUGAAACUAAUUAUCAAUAACAUUCACCCUCUUGUAUCUAGUCGGGAUUCCUGACACCUACAAAACCUUUAAGGCAAACACUAAAAAGUUAAACCGGAGGAUGCAUAAAAACUACAUUCAAAAAGCAGGUUAAGCAAUACAAAUAUAUGUGCACUAAGGCAGCAUUUUACCGAGCCUUACAGCAAAACUAAGACAUCAGCUUAAAAAAUUGCCGAACUCAAGCAGCUAGUAUACAGAAACAUACAGAAAUGACCUUAAAAAACGUCAUCUUUCAGGACUUCGACAUCAUAAGCUAUUCUCUGUUCCCCAAAUUCACUAAACUAAUAAUCAGACCGCAGACCUCUGAUACUAAACGGUCCAAUUAUUCAAUAAAGCCGACACUAACAGUGCCAAAAAAAAUUCGGAAAGCUAGUAAAAUUGAAAAAGUAAAUUAGUCAAAUGAGAAUCUGAAAAUUACUUUUCAUCAAGCUGCUUGAGUUCCUCGUCAAUCUUAGCACGCAUCGAAUCCAGCACCUUUUGAUCCAAAUUCAAAACCCCAUUUGCAAUUAGGGUUUCGUACAAUGGCGCCAUAUCUGAAUACAAUCCCACCAUAAAUCAAAUUAAUACUCGUUAACAAACAAAACCCAAAGCAUAUAAACACAAAACACCCUAAUUUGACUGAAAAACAUAAACCAAUAAAAAAAAGUAUAUAUCCAAAUUACUCAGCAGCCAAAUUUACCAUCUGAAACGACGGCGUUGUAAACUUCAUCCCGGAGGCGAACUUUCUCGAUGUCGUCGACAUCUGGGUGAGUGAGCAAGAAGAGUUUGUUGGCGAGAAUCAGGUGGGGUUGCUGUUUGCCCUCUUGAUUUUCCAUCUUCUUCUUCUUCCUUUUUUUGAUUUUUGGGGUUUCUUUUGGGUUCUUAUUCUUCUUUUUGAUGUUGGAGCUCAGAGCCUAUAUGCUUGUGGAGAGGGCAACUGAAAGGUGCUGGCUGGCUAGCAGGACUAAAAUUUAAAUGAAAAAAAAAAAGGAAAGAAAAGGCUUGAAUUACACUUACCUCCCCUAAUUUUUUCAUAUUCAUAAUUACCUCCUUAACUUUUGUUUAAAACUAAGAUUAUUCAACUCUAAGAGCAAAUAAGUAAAGAAAAAAAUUGUAUUGCUCUUAAUAUAUGGUUGAACAAGGUCUUAUUUUACACUUUUGUUUGAAAAUAUAUGCUUUUUAUAUAUUCAAUUAGUCCUUAAAAUAUAAAAUAAGUUUCUUCCAAGGACAUAAAAUUUUAGUAAAAAAUAUUUGUUACAGCCUAUUAGGACUUGUGUAUUACAAGAAGAAGUAAUAUGGGCAAAGUUCAAAGAGAUUUUGGUCUAAUGGCUAAUAGUUAAAUUGAGAUCCCAAACAUUAUAGAUCCUAGAUAAAAAAAAAAAUAUUAUGGGCGGCAAAGGAUCUAAAUUACUAUAACAUUUAUGUCUCACAAGUUAAUUGAAUUUUGACAUCCUUAUACUAUAUAAGAAUGAGUUUUGGUCAAAAGAGAUUUUGAAUUUCAACCGCAUGGGUAAGGGUAUUUUGGAAAUGUGAAAUAAUGUGUUGCUUUUUUAAAGUUUUUUGUACAACUCAGGGCAGCAUGUGUUUGGGUAUGUUUACAGAGAUACCCUCAUGUUGUAUAUUUAAAGUUUGUAUUAUAGGUAGAAUACAAUUUAUGGUGAAUUCUUUUGUCACACAUUUCCAAAAAUGGGGUUGUGCCUUUUUAUGGGUAUUUUGGGAAUGUAUGAUUAUUUUGGUUAUCGUUUUAUCUGUUGGUACAAGUGACAAUAGCCGUUGUGUGGUUGUAAUUAGUUAAACGUCCUUAGUCUCUAAUUAAAUUGGGGAGAAUGUGGUUUAGUAGGUAAUUAGUGAAAGGAAUUAAUGAGGGAAGGGUAUUUUGGGAAUGCGAGUUUGUUGUACUACUCUUUUUAACAGUUGGUACAAUUCAUAAUAACUUUUGUCUUGGUGUAAUUACAUAAAGAUGGUGAGUUGCAAAUUAAAAUUUGGAGAGCAUACUUUGAUGUAACUGAUUAGACUUCUCAACUAGCUAAAUUCCAUUCAUUGCAUGGUUUAUUGCAAAUGAUUUAUUAGACACAAUUAUUAGGGAUAAUUGGCAGAAGUGGGCUAGAUAGGUAUUACUAUUCAAAUUCUGCUGCUUCAACUUCAUGUAUUUUGGCUUACGGUCUUUACCCUUUUUAACCAUUCUAGGACUAGGAUGGUUAAGACAAAAUUAAUACUAAUUAUUGGAAAAUUUAAAGUAUCAAGUGUUGGACAUCUGUUCAUUCCCUUUUCUCAGUUUUUGGGUUUGCUCAACAAAGGUUUGUUGUUUGGAACCAUCUCUCAUCCAUUUGAAGACAAAUCAUAACAAUCAAUUGACUUUUAGUUUUUUUGAAUUGUAUUUUUUUGCGUUACUUGUAUUUGUGGUAGGAACAGGAUUCAUAAGAAGAGUGUUACAUAUUUACAUCUCCUAAUCAGAAUCUGGAAGCCAAGGUAUGUUGAAACUAUAUUUUUUUACAUUGAAAUUUGUCAUAAUUUGCAAAUAACUUGUGAUAUAUGUAUAACUGCUUUCUAUACACAUGCUAAUAGAUUUAAUUAGGUCAUACUAAUGCAUUAACAAUGUCAGCCUCAUGUGUGUGAGGAAAAGUUUUGUAGGAAAUAUUUGGAAUAAGGUAACCAAAAUUUUAUCCUUCCUACUGAAUCUUUUAAAUUCUUUUGAUAUACAUGUAGUUAGUUCUGGAAUUGAUUUUGGUGUUAGUGUGUACUUAGUAAUACUGAUUUAGUUUGGUGACAGAACUCGUUCAUUUAUGUAUUUGGUUAUAUAUAUGACUGUCUAAUUUUCUGGGAAUACUUGAUUCAUUUGGUGGUAGUUUGACCUUUGUACUACUGAUUUGCUAUGGUGAUAAAGUUGAUUCAUCUAUGUAAUCAUGUGAUAAUUGAUUUUGGUAGUUUGAUGUUCUGCUAUGAAACUUAUGACUUGUCUUAAACUUAUGUUUGAUAAUAUGUUUAUUUUCUCUUAUAUUUUGCUAAACUUAUGGUAAUUGAGUAGUCCAUAGUGGUUGAAUAGAAUUAAUUAAAGCUUUCAUUUCUGACCUCCUUCACAAAGCAUUAGAAUUCAACAUAAAUUUAGAUACAUACUUUAUUAGUAUUACAUCACAAAUUGAUAGGGUGUUAAUUGUUGGUUAUUUUAUUGUUAAUUUCCCCUUUGUCCUUGCCAAAUAUUGUUUUAAUUAUUAGUAUUUACUUAUAUUUAGUAUUUGGAUUUAAUUUUAGGGAAUGGAACAGAAACUACAAAAAAGAAGGGACUUUCUGAGCAAAUUACUGCACACAUGGGAGUCUUCUGCAAAGCUCUCUCAACGUGGCCCACAAGAGAGGAAACAAACGGAUUUCCCUUUGGCCCUUAUUGAGCUGAUAAAGAAAGGGCUAUGAGAGCCCUAGGAGCCGAGGAAACAAAAAGAAAAUUGAGCCGCAUCUUUUGUAUUCUUUUUUUGGCUUUCAAUUUUGGUAGGGACCACGGAGUAGGAAGCAUUAUGUCAUUUUCCUUUGGCUUUUAAAGGGACAAUCGUACAGGAGCUUCUUAUCAAUAGAUACUAAGAGGUUAUCGGCUGUGCUAAGCACAGCCUAGACCCCCUAUAAUCUGUUGUCAUAUAUUUUCGCAUAAGACCAAUCAAGUAUGCAGCUAACAAUAUGAGACUAAACAAAAAAAAAAAUCAUUAGCAUUGCAAAAGAUAAGAGAAGCUGACAAAAGAUUGGCAAGUAGUUUCAUAAACAGCUUAACAUCUUCAAAUAUAAAGUGCAAUCAUAGGCUGCAAUUACAAAAGAUCACAUAUUGAGAUCCAUUAAGGUGCACAAAAGAACAAUUUCUUAAUGGAUGUCAAUAUUAUGUCAAAAGAUGCAAAAUUGGGAAUGCAGCUGUAAAGUGUUUUAACAUUAGCAAAAUGAGCAAUUCAAAAGGCUUCAAGGAAGUUCAGAGUUCAUCGUCACGCUGCUUCUUCAAGGGACUUCCAGGUGCAUUGGUGGACAGCGAGGUAGGUGUAUUAGCUUCAGGAGAAUUCAAACCAAUUCCGGGAGGCACAGUUCCAAAAACCAAGGCCCUCUUUGCUGUUGUCACUGUAGGCGGCACUUUGUUUGCAGUAGUAGACGAUUCAGCAAUGGCAUCAAGCAUUUUUUUGGUUGAUGGACUGAAAAAUUUAGUUUUCUUGGUAGGCUGCAGGACAGUAGCUUGAAGGGUUGAAAUUUUUUCAUUCGUUUAUGCAGUUGUGAUGGCCAUUGGAAUGUGAGCUGAUUCCUCAGUAGUGUAUGCCUUGACAAUAUUAUACUUGGCUUCCUUCCGGCCUUGAUAAUCUGACUCAUAGUAGCGAAUGAAACACACAAUUGCAUGCUUUCCGAGUGCAGAUGCUAGUUCAGCAGAAAAGUUAAGCUCCUAAAUUUUUUUGUUUUAAAGUAUAAAUAAUUAGCAAUGAUAUUCAAAUUCUGAGUAAUUUCAUGCUGUAUAAAUAGAACUGGAUCCCAAGCAUAAUUAUGGAAGGAAACAAAACAUAUUAUACCCAAGACAUUAUGGAAUAACUGUGAAAGAUGGUAAAACCAAAUAAUCUUUUGUUUCCUACAAUCAUGACACUUUUACAUGGUGAGAGCAGCAUUCAUACCAAAGAAAAGAAGUGUGAGAAUCAGAUUAUUCGAUAGUUAUUACCAUUAGACCUCAAUGAACUAAAUAAAACUCUCACUUUUUUUUUUCUAUUCGGGUAAAGGCCUAAAAAAGCUGAAAUCUUUUGAGUUCAUCUGGGCCAUUAAUAUAGACCAGCAAAAGCAACGAAGGAGAGAUGUUCCAAUUGUUGUAUCAACAGAAAGUCACUUGGUGAGAAGAAGGCAGAACUAUUUGACUCAUUCUGGACAUGCAGUUCCAAUUCGAUUGAGAUUGGAUCUGUCAUACGAAGAAUGACCAAUGCUCUAAUUGGCCAAUCGUGCACAAACUCUAUUAGUAUCAAAUAUACAGUUCCAAUUGUGCACAAAAUUUCUAUUUACUUAUUUACCUAAAACUAAUCAAAUCUGGCAAAGAAGGGGCUAGAAGAGGUAACUCGAUAUCUCAUUUACAGGAUAGCACAAUUGGACUAAAAUCUCAUAAUCUUAUCUAGGAAAAUGUACCCAUUGAGAGCUAUCACUGUUUUUUUCCUGAAUACCACCACUCCUUCUUUUGCUUUAUGGGUUUCUUACAACUAAAUUCCUAAUAAAUUAGCCUCACACAACAGUAAGAAUUUGACAGUUUGUGGCUUCAAUAACUAAUAGAAAAGGCUACAAGCAUGAGAGUUUGGAAAACAAAGAUGAAAUUGGCCAUUCCAGCAGAAAUAUAGCCCGCAUGAUAUUGGAAAAGUCAGCAGAAAUAUAGGAAAUUAUAAUUGGCAGCAGAAAUAUAGGCACAUGAAGUUCAUCGCAGCUGAAUGGGAAAAUGAAGAAAUCUAUGAAGGGAAAAAGAAUCGAUAACAUUAACCAAGAUGUAUUAAGCUGGUAGUUGUAUUAUCAUGCAAUAGCUAAACUUGUAGCAGAUUUUUUUGUUGGCAAGAUUGUUAGCUCACCUCAGUAUGAGCUUCCCAGAAUUGAAGUGCUGUAAAUGGGAUAAGCUUUUCAGCAUCAAGGCCAAAGAUAACAGUAUUUAUGGAGCCCGUACCAUCAUCAACAGCAAUUCCAACUCGGGUCCUAUUACACAUUGGAAACAAAAUAUUAUAUUUUAAUUCAUUACAAGAGAGGGAAACUUAAUUUGGUAGUUACCUUGCUACAACUCUGCUCUCUUCUUUGCAAGAUGCGCAUCUCAUAACCCAUCCUACGUCAACAUUGAUAGCCUUUUGGCAGUUCUCACAUGCUUCAAACCAGAAUUUUUGUUGUCCAGGGGACAAACUGAUUUUUCCUGUCAUCCAAGCUGUUUUCACCUAAUAGAUGUUUUUGUGAACAGAAAAAAGAACAUCUGAGUUUUGUAUUAAUUUGGAUGGCUUAAAGAUGUAGAUCAGGUUAUAAAUGAAAAAGGAAGUUACAUCUUUGAGUGUGUUAAGUGCAUUGGCUACACUGAUUAUGUCGUUAGCACUUGGAGGUGGCAGCAGCUUAGAUGAAUCUUUGUAUGCUAUUUGUUGUAUCAAUUCUGCAAUUUCUUCUUUAUUUGCAUUAUACCUAUCCAAGAAAUUAAUGCAACAGACUUUAAUUUAUCAAAAGGAUAUAGAAAAGUUUAACUAAAAUGAUCAAAGGACAUGUGCAUCAUUCUUUGAGUGCAUUUGCUUCAGAAGUGGGAGGAUUAAUCAGAAGGCCACUCCCAGGCUUGGUUGUCAGAGAUAAGUCUAAUAAUAAAAGCAAUAGUUUUCAUUAAGUAAUAGAGCAAUUUAAAAGACAGUGAUAGGCUGAGUUAUUGUAACUGGUUGACUAUCAUUGAAGUAUAAGCUGUUAAAAGUAUAUUAACUUCACUUACAAUUAAAAGUUGUGAUUUUCAGCUUCAUGCCAAUGAUAACGUUGGCAUUUCCAAUACUGUUUGCAAGUUGUGUUCCCUGAUUUUGUUCGAACUCAUUCCAAAGAGUAAGAAGCAUUGGCUUUUUCCUUUACAAAGAAGAGGAAAAAUGGGGAAAAAUGUGAAUGCAACAGUUUUAUGCCUUGAAUAGGAAUAUUAAAAGUAAGGUCUAUAUAACUAACUCUUCAUUCACAACAAUGAAGUCUCUUGUUUUACACCCGUUAUUCUGUUCCUUUGUCGCAAAUGCAGUGACAACAACAGCUUGUAAAUCUUAGUACAAACCAAAAGAGAAGGGGUUAGCUGUGUUUCAAUAGCUAAAGGAAAUAUGAAAAUGAAUUUAUAUUUCAAACAGUAAAGCAUAGAUAUAACUUACUCUGAACAUUCUCUGUGACUGCGAACCUAAAAAGGUCUUCAAAUUUGGUCAAUUCGAAAGUGCAUGGUAGCAUUGGUGGAUUUGGCUCAACAUACUCUUCAACUAAUGUCUUGUUAUGAAGCACCCAUGAGAACUGAUAGUCACUAACUUUAUACUUUGCAUCCUAUUUUUUGACAGUCCCACCAGUGAUAUAGUAUUACUUGAACGGUUGCAGCAGAUUAGCAAAAUAACGAAUGUCGUUUCCAUAAAUGACAGUUGAAACCAUAGUCCCCUGUUCAUAGAAAGAACCAAGAUGAGCAAUACUAACCAAAAGGCUGAAGUACAACACUCAAGGUGAGAAGGGAGAGGGGGAAGAAAACAUAUAACAGCAAUGUUUGAGUUGCAAGAAGCAAAUCACUAAGAAUAAUCAGAGACAUUUAUGAAGGAAAAUGGUAGAAAAAGCAGAACAGAAUUUGACAAUAGACUGCUAUCAAUUAAUGUUAUCAAGAGACUGCUAUCGUUUGCCACAAUUUUCCUUAAAGGGAAAAAAAGUAUUUCAGAUCCAGGGAUAUGUAACAGGCGAAAACGCAGGACUCUUCGAAAGAAUUGAAGUAGCAAAAAUCUAAAACGCUUUCUGUACAAAUACUUUAGCAGCUAUUGGUCACGUUAGUAGCAACUACAUCUUUUCUCAACCUUGUGGUGUUUAGUUCACCCAAUUUGUUAAGAGGAUUACGAGACCAAUUGUCCUCUACUUGUACAAUGUGUUUAAUAAAGUAAAAUCAAUCUACGAUAUUGUAUAUUGAAUGUCCCUUUUUGGGUUCAAAGAAAGUACCAUAUGUAUUAGCAAUUGACAAGCAAAAAAGGGCAACAAAACUAACAUGCAAAAACUUGGAUAUACAGAGCCUAUGUCUAUAAUCUAUGCUCUAAUGCUCCCAUUCAUUUUUUUCCCUUUUUUUUGGCCCAAAUGCAUUGCAGGUGCUGUUGCCUAUAUCUAUAAGUUGAACUAACGAAGUAAUCAGGGUACUCUUAGAACUUUUCCUUAUCUGUGAGUUGCUUUCUCUCCUAUAUAUUUUCAAUAUUGGCAAAUACUGGCUGUUAUGCUUUGGUACGGGAGUUUGUCCUACCUAAUGAAACCUAAUCACAAUAUAAAUAGUCUAAUGACCUGCAAAACUCCAGAGAUAGAUUAAAUUACUGCAUUUAGAACAUUUAAGUAUUUUGGCAGCAGUGACACUUUGACCAAAUUGGCUUCGUAAUUUAAGUUUGAGCCCACUUGUUAAAAUAAAAAAAAGGGGGCUGGAUAUGUAUAUUCUUGUCUGUAUAGGAGAAGAUGGAGAAUUUGAAGGGAUUGGGCGAAUAUCUGCUUUCUUGUUAAUAUUUUAUGGCAGAAAUGAGGUGAUGCACCUAACUGACUUAGAUCAAAAUGAGCAUUUUGUAGUUGCAAUACCUAUCUUUUUUUCCCUUUUCGUUUUACAUCCUUUGUUGGAUCUUUAAAAACGUGUUCACAGCAGUAGUGAACACGAUAACACGUUGCAAAAGAGUGUGAUUACAGAAAAAGACGUGCAAAUAUAGAUAAAAGGUAAGGGGAAAAAUUUUCUUGGAAAUCAGGACAGAUUAGGUGCGAUUAAAAGGUGAAGAUGAGAUGGAAGUACUUCUAUCAAAGUUCAAAGUCUCCAAAAACAUUAAGCCAAAGAAGCAAAACGCGGAAAAACAGGGAUAAGAUGGCUGGUCUCCUGACUUGGCAUAGGCUGUACGGCUACACAUUCAAUUCUACCAAAAAAAAAAAGUUGCCAGAAUGGAAAUGAGAUGGUCUUGGGGUAUUAGAGCUGUGUUUUUCUCUUUUGCUAUAAAUCAUUUCCGUUAGUCUUCUGCACUUUGUUUUAGUCAUUGAAUGCACAUUGAGGCACUCAAAUGCAUCCAAACUGUAACAUUUUCAAAUCACUAUAUAUGAUCUCCCAUACAGAAAGUUAAACCGAUUAGGCAUACAUCAUUGGUUAAUAAUAAACCUUGUAAUAUUAUAGGGUAGAAUCAUGUAAGUUAAAUCAAGAUUUCACUAUAGUCAAUUUGCAAGCAUUGGUAUUUUAAGUUCCAACGGAACAAUAUUACCCAAGAAACAUAAAAAGAAAGCAAUAUUAAAAAGUAAUCGGCCUGAAAUUAAAUUGCAUAGAGGAUAAUUAAUUAUCUGGACAUGUUGAUGAUUUAGAAAAUGUUAAAUUGCUAAGAUCAGUUUCAGCUUAUAUUACCUCAGAAUCUGUUAACACGAGGCGCUGAAAUCUGAUAGGCGGUGAUCUGUUACUGGUUAACACGUGCGAUUUCUCCAUAACUUGCACAAGCACUGUCCACCUUCUCAUCUUGUCGUGGACUUCAUGCACUGAUAGACAUCUCCUUGCCAUUGUUAUCUAUAAUAAUAAGAAAGACACAUAAUCAGUUUGUAAGUUAAAAGAGAAGAAAUUCUGGAACAUUCAAGAAAACUGGAACUGAAUCCUAAAAUAACAUAAUUACUUGGCAGCUAUGCGAGAAGUUUCAAGAACUUCUCUAAAUACAAUAUUUUUUGUCUGGUCUGUUCUAGGCUUAUCAAAAAAUGGAGGUUUAAUGAGCACUUUGACUUGAGAAGCAGUUCUUGCUCGCGAUAAUGCAACGUAGAGCUGCCGAUGGGAAAACACUAGUUCCUUCAAAUAGAUACCAACAUAAUCAAGCGUUUGUCCUUGAGCUUUGUUUAUUGUCAUGGCAAAGCAUAAGCGAAUUGGAAACUGAGUCCUUGUAUAUGGAAUAGGAUAUUGUUCAUCAGUUGGAGGUUGUAAGAGAAUUCUAUGGAUGAAGACAUCUUUUCCAGCAAAAUCUCCUACAGCUAUUUGAGCAUGAAUGACAUGUUUCCUCAAACUUUUACAAAUUAAUCUUGUUCCAUUGCAAAGACCCUCAGUAGGGUCGAGUUUUCUAAGCAAUAUCACAGGAACACCAGGUUUCAAGAUUAGUUUAUAGGGUGGAAGGCCACUGGGAGAUAAGGAGUUUAAAAAAUCUUCAUAUUGAACUUGGUUGUUUGGAUUCAAAGCUCGAUCGAAACUCAGAUAUUCUACUGCUGUACCUGGAAAUUUAUCAAUUAAGAUAUCAUUCACUUCAUCCACAAAAUGAUUCUUUGUGGUGAGGAUUGCUCGAUUUAAUGGCAAGGCAGGAUUUUCUGAUCUAUAAUGAAUGUGGGGAUAAACCACAUUUAUCAGAUCAUGUAGUGAUGCAUUCUGUGAACCGUUGCUAACCAAAAUAGAAGAAGGCAGGUAUAUGAGACUGUCAUCUUCAGCUUGGUCAGUGCCAUCACCAACCCUUAAUAAGUAAUCAGUGAAUGAGGGAGCAAAUCGAGCCCUCAUGUUUUGUGUGAACUCUAAUUUUUCAAGAGCUGGCCAGAUAGGGGAAUUAAUCAAAGAAGCAGCAAUGGUUUCAGAUUGGCUUCCCUUACGAACCACUGGUAAGGUUUACCUGAAAUCACCCCCAAGAAUAAUUACUUUCCCACCAAAGAUCUUAUCUGAAUUCAUAAGAUCUUUAAGAAAAUCAUUUAACGCUUCAAUCGCAGAUCUCUUGCACAUUGGAGCCUCAUCCCAAAUAAUUAAUUUGCAUUCCUUAAUCAUACUUGCCAAACUGCUUUGUUUACUAAUUUUGCAUGCUCUGCCCUUUGAGGUAUCAAUUGGUAUUUUAAACCGAGAGUGGGCGGUUCUACCUCCAGGUAGCAUUGAUGCAGCAAUACCUGAUGUGGCUGUCGCUAAUGUUAUAUAGCCCUUUGAUCUAAUAUCAGCUAACAACGCUCUAUAAAGAAAAGAUUUUCCAGUUCCACCAGGGCCAUCAACAAAAAAUGCACCACUCUUAUUUUCAUAAACUCUUUUAGAUAUAGCUUCAAAUGCAUGCCUUUGGUUCUGAUUAAGCAAAGAAAUCGCAUUUAAGUCCUCUUCAAAAACUUUUAUGCUUUUUUCAGCCAAUACAUCUCUUGUUUGGUUGUCUACAUCUGAGAAUGAGAAAUUAUUAGGAAGUAAGCCAAAUGAAACUAUAUUUUUUCCCAUUGACUGUAGAAAACCAUUUAUUUGCUCUAAAACUUUUCGUUUGAUUUCUCUAGGAGACAAAUCAGUAUUUCUCAUGAAAUCUUCGGACAUGACAGCCUCAAAUUUUGUCCAUAGCUGUUUGGGGUCACUAGGACAGGAAUAAACUAAUAGCGUAUCAAAAAGUCGUCUCAUUUCAUAAGGCAUAUGAAAAAGAGACGCUUCUUGUAGGCAAAUUUCCUGGCUAUUAUCAUUCUCAAGUAGGCCACGCAAGAGAGUUGCUUCACGAAAGGUGGUAACUUGUACUUCAUUAUGAGUCAUUAAGUCUUCAAAAGACUUUGGAGCACGAACUUUAGACAAAAGAAGUCUAAGGUAAUAUCUUUCUCCCUCAGAUGGAUGAGCUGUAUUUAUUCGGCCUAUAAAAUCUCCCCUAUCUCUAAUUUUCCAGCGUUUUUGAUCAGCUAACCAGACAAAAUGGUCUGAAAAUUGAACGUAUAUGCAAUUUAGUUCUUGUGCAACUGAAUCUGUUCUAUUCAUAUAGAAAAAUUCAGUCAACAUUGUCUUCCUAUUUCUUGGAUUUUUGACUAUGUUAUUUAAAUUUUCAUGCUUCUUGAAGUGAAUUGGCUGAAAAUUUGGAAGAUGCAAUUGAAGGUGAAUGAUAGCUGGUUUAAUUUCUCCCAUGGAAAAUCGAAAUAAUCGCCAAACAGCUUCAGGCGGGAAAACCCACCGAGCUGCCUGAUAUUGCUGAAUUUCAUCAAUCUGAUUGUUUGGAUUAUCAGAAUUGAUAUGGAAACUGAUUCGAUCAUGUCCUUUGCAGAUAUACUUGUAAAUAUAUUUGACAACCUGAAUUGUUGAGCAGAUCUCAACAUUAAUGUGGCAAUUGAACUUAGCAAGUAAAUAUGCAUUAUGAGGAACAACCCAUGUAUUAUCAAGUUUUUGUUUUCUGACUUUAAUUUUAACACCAUUGUUUCUUCUUCGGUAUUGUGGAUAGGAAUCUAGCGUCUGAAUUGUCUGCUCAGAAAACUCUUUUGGAUAAGAAUUUUUGCAGCAGCCAUGCUUAGUCAUGCAAACAUUUGAUGGGUUCAACACACCACAAGGGCCGUGCAUCAUGUGUUUUUUAACCAUUCUGUACAGGUGCGGAUAUUUUGUUUUACCUGGAAUUUCUGCACUGACAAUUUUAUCAUAUUCAUCAGGGAUGAACAUUUUGUGCUGAGGCUUUAAGAUUAAAAGAAAAUGAACAUGUGGCAGGCCUCUUUUGUGAAAUUCUAUCACAUAUGUAUAGGCUGCCACUUCUCCAAAAAUAUUUUUCUUCAAAAGUUCAUUCUUUAAUUCUUCUAGUUUAGCACGAAAGACCCUUACAACCAAAUCUGGUCGAUUUUGGGCUUCCUCUGUCGGCAGUAAAUGUUCUUUUAUUUCUGGCCAAUUGGGAUUGCAAGUCAUGGUCAAGAAUAUAUCCGGCUUGCCAAAUUUUUGGACCAAAGUCAUUGCAUCUAUGUAUUUUCUUCUCAUAUUUCUUGGUCCUCCAAUAAAGCUAGCUGGUAAAAAUACUCUUUGACCUACAUUUGCUGCCCGGACUUCACCAGUACCUAUUGAGUCUACUAUACCUUGUAAGAACUCUUUUCUAAAUUCUUCUUGCUGGGUUCUCAAAUAAUCUAAUCUUUGUGAUUCAAGUUUAACAUACAUAUCAACAACAUAUUGCUGAAAUAGCCUACCAAAGUGCAAUAAGAAAGAUUCAUCAUCAUUUCUCAUUUGCAAUUUAUAGACAUAGUAUUCACGGAUGGAAACGAAAUCAGGAUCGCCGUCUAUUCCUGCCAUUACUGGUUGAAGGAAUUUAGAAAGAAGGUUAAUGAGGCUGGCAUGCUAAAAUUAAUAGAAUACAGGUGGAAAAGAUUUAUUCUACUUACAGUCUUGUUCCAUUUGUAUUAACUCUUCGGCAGUAGAAGCAUUCAUUGGAGAAAUAGAAAUUUGAGCAUCCCUUUUCCUAGUCUUUUUUUUGUGCACCUUUUUCCCGUGUUUUUUAAUCCCUUGAUGCCAACCAGAUUCACCAAAAGGAAGCAAAAGAGGGUACUGGAGAGGGUCAUAACAGCCAUAGUAAUAUUGGAUAUUGUGUGAAUGGCCACCAUGGGUGUACACUCGAAUAUCUCGACGGCUUGUUUCUCCAUUUUCUUCUCCUUCUACCCAUAAAGCAGCAACUUGGGACACUGUAGGCUUAUUGAAUACUCUUUGGUCUAAACCAGGGUGUGUUCGUAAAACAAUGCGAUAAGUAUCAAGGUUAUGAACCUCUCUCAAGCCGUGAAAGAAUCUAGCAUAGGGAUUUUGCUGCAUGAGAUUCAUGGUUUUUUGGAGAAUACUCUCAGUUAAUCUUGGGUAGGCAUCUAAUCGAUUUGCUAAUUCAUUUUCACUGCCAUGAAAAUAGAAUUGCAAAUUUUUUGAGGUCUUUAAAUCAUUGAUGAAAUGAUAGACCUGACCUUACACUUUAAAAGUAUAAAUGCCCUUAUUUCUCUUAGCCAAAUUUUUAUCACAUUUUACUCCAAAGGAAGUGAAAGCAAAUGUGUUAUUAAUGGUUCUAAUACAGGUCCUAAACAGUUGAGCUUCCUCAGAUGAUGACAUAAGAAGUUCUUUUAGAACAGUUGGGAUUGAAUUGCUAGCUAAAAUAACAUCCCCAUUAGAAUAACAAAAAUUUGCUGUUUCAUGAGCAAAUUUUUUGCACUACAAUGGGGACAGUUGCAUUGGCGAGGAAGCAGAUCAGCAGCAGUAGGAAUGUGAUUUAAGACCUCCCGACCUGUUUUUGGCGUUCUUGCUAUAAUCGACAAAGAAAAGAUAUCUAGUUAUUCAUUUUGUGUAAUGCAGGGAAGUAGAAAUUAAAAAACUGAAGCUAGUAAGACAUUAAAAAGUUUACAAAACCUGCACGCUUUCUCUUAGGCUUUACUUGGUUUGAUUGGAGUAUGGCUCUAUCUAUUCCUUAAGUGUUUGCUACCGAAACUGGAUAGAAUAUGGUAUAAGUUAAACAAAAGCGCUAAGGGGUAUAGUAGGUAAAAAGUCUAUGUUUAUGGGAAAGCUUUAUCUAAGGUUAAAGUUUUUUCAUGGUACACUAAAGGGGCUGGAAAACACUGUUUGUAAAAGGAUGAUCAUUCUAGUAGCCAAGUGAAUUGUUCUAAAUGUGAAAAGGUCACGAAAAAUGUAUAAAAUUAAUUUUAUAGUUUAUAGAAUGAUAAGUUAGAGUAAUUGAUUUAAUUCUAAGAUUGAAGGCAUAGGAAGCUGGAAUUUAUAAAAAAGGCUUUAAAAGACAAAAUGAGUUUAAAAUAAAAUCACAUAAUAUUUUUAAUGUUACAGACCUAUUUUGGUUGACAGUGAAUAGAAGGCAUAUACUUUUACAAAAGCUUAAAACGGUUAACUUGGAAAAUAUGCAGAAAUUAGUGAAAAUAAUGAUAUGAAUAAAAUACUGGUAUGAAACUGUAUGAGCUGGUUUGACUUUAAUAGCAUAUUAAUGGAGGGGAUUAAGGCAAGCACCUGUGGAUUCAUAUUGAAUUGAUUUUGAUUGCACAGUAUCCACUGCAGGGAUGGCAACAAUUGAAGGAAGAGGAAGUUGAGGUUUGGUAGGCGAACUUUUAGAUUUCUUUUUUUCUUGGCACCUUUUAUGUUUUAGUAUCACAGAUCUUUGCCUUCUAUUAUUUGCUGCAACAGGAUUUUUUGUUGCCAAGAAUUCAGAUGGCGCAUUGACAAUUGAAUGCACCAUAUUUGAACUUGCAAACAGCAAAGUAGCUGGGUUCACAGGACGAGGCAUACUAGACUCAAUAGGGUGAGUCACAAACCUAGAGCAGCUAGCAUUUUGAGCUUCUAUUUGCUCUGUUUCGUGCAUACAAUGCAUCUGAGAUAUAUCAGGUUUUAAUGUAAGAUGAUCCUCUUUGUUAUAGGCUAUACUGGAAGGCUCAAGUGGUGCAAAUAUAAAUGACAUAUUCAUGGAUGCUUCUGUGUCAUUUGAAUUGGUUGGCAGGAUAGAAUGGACGUUCGGGCGUCUAAGAAGAAAUGGCUGAUGUGAUUCUAGAGAUAUGGAGUGAAGCAAGCCAUCUCUUUGGGAUUUUUUGUUUCUAUAUCCCAUAUUUUUUUGACUUCCAUUAUUUCUUAUAGCAAGAAAUUGAUUUUGUAGAAAUGGAAGUGAUCUACUCAUAGAUAGUUGGCUGUUAUUUGGCCCUAUAGGAAGCAAGUGAGGAACAUUAAUUACAUUUGAGGGUCUCGAGCCACGAAGUCGCGAUAGCCUAUCUAACCGUUUUUGCCUCCAUCUUUGAAUAGCUUGUUUUCUAUAACUAACUUUAUCCAUAUUUUUGAGUCACCUCAAAUGGAGGAAUGCCAGUAGCAUUCUCAGAAGGCUCGUUUGUGACAAAAUAUAUAAGAAAAGAAGGAUGCUAGUCCAUCAAGGCAGACAGGAUAAAAUAGCUAAUGGAACUUCUCUAAUGUAAUGACUGACUAUCAGAUAUCUCGAUCACAAUUUAGUCAAUCAUAUAAUUGGUCUAUAUUAUAUGGUUGUUUAUAUACUCUUACGCAAACAAUAUUAGACAAUCAAAUAAACAGAAAGCAACUACAGAAUAAAUGUAAAACCAACUGGACAUACGACUAAACAGAGGUUAAAGGAAUUGAGGAUAUAGAGCCAUCAAAGUCUAAUAGCAAAAGCAUAAAAAAACAUGAACUAAGGAGACAAUACAGCUAACAACAGGUUUUUUUGUGUAAAAGUCAGGCUGAAGCAUUAGGCAUACCUGGUAACAGCAACGAUAAAUCAAAUAGGGAAAUGCAAAAAGCUUUGCGCCUAGGAUGAGGUGUACAUUAUCCAAGCAACAAAACACAGGAAAAAAAAAAUAUCAGGGAAAGAGCAUAGACAAAAGGGGGCAAAGAAAAACAGUAAAUGAUAAUGCUUGCAUUAGUUUGCUAUAUGAGCUGUUGAGCUAUAAAGUUGUAAUCAAUUUAGAUACAUUAAGAUGUUCCAAGUAUGGGUUAUAAGUUCAUGAUGUCUGGGAAUUGGGAUUAGCAUCCAUUACUGUAAUUUAUUUAAAUUGCUGAUAAAAUGAUAAUUGUCCAUGCCCCAUAUUAAGUGGUAAUUCUGGAGAGGGGAAAAAAGAUAAGUUACUGAAGAAAUAUGGAAAAUAAGAACAGAAAACAAAUAUAGAGCAGCUUCAAAGUUAGAGAAGGUAUCAAUUAAUGAAGUCCAGUUAUAAAGAUAAGAAAAUGUUCUCUACUCUUCAAGGCACAGAAACAAGUUUGAAAAGGACAUUAAAGUAUGUUCAUUACACCAAAGGAGAUCAAAAUCAGAAAUGAGUAUUGCAGCUUUAUGACCUUAAGAAAUCCAUUUAGUCCACAAAGACAAGACCGACUCCCAUAAGUGGCACUUUCACCUUUGUCAAAUACAUGAAUGAUUAAAAGCAGCCAACUCCUCAAUUCAAGAACUACAUCCUACUGCAAUUUGUUUUCUUCCCGAUUCAGCUCGAAUGGUAGUCAAAUUAAUGCUAUUAGGGGACCUAAUGAUACAUCUAGAUAAGAUUAACAUAUAUAUUUACACAUACUUCUGCAAUUUCAAGCCAAAAAAUAGAGUGUAUGUACUUGGGAUAAAACAGGCAUAAUAACCUAAGAUGUUCAACUGCUAGGCAUAUAAAUGAGUGAAUGAGCUUUGAGUAAAAAGACUACAAUGAAUAACAGACGAAGAAUGGUCUACAUACAAUAUCCUUAAAAAAUAACCAUUGAGUUUUUCAUUGCCCCAGACAAGUCUAGCGUAAACGAAACAGCAAACAAGGAACACACUAAGUAAGCAAUUAGAAACAAGAAGUACAAAGUCUUAAGCUGCUUAACCAAUAGGCAUUUAGAUCACUAAAAAAGGCUGGCCAGCUUAAUAUUAUCUUAAAAAUAGAUAAGCACUCCCAUUCCUCAUUUAGAACAACAACAGGUCACAUAUAGCAAACAUGUAUAUUGUAAGAAAAACUAACUUAGAGUCUGUAUAGCUUCAUUGUGAUUAAAGACCAAAGCAUCAGUACCAGGAGGUUGGAAAUGACUUUGGUGCAUAAAAUCUGUUAUUGAUGUCCAUCACUACAAUUUUUUUUCUAGUGUGUAUAUAGCAAUUUGACUAUUUGAUAGAACACUCAUUAUAUGCAAACCAAAAGGACAGCUUAGUUACUUAGAAUAACAUCAGCAAAUGGGUUAACAGCUUUUAAUUCUGAGCAAUAAUUUGUUAUUUAGUCUAUUCUAGGCAUGAGAUACCUACCAAAAAAAAAUCUAAGCUUGAGAUAAUCAAGCUGUCAUAGACAUAAUGAAUGCCUGUUGUCUAAUAUGACUUGACAUUUUCAAGAGCUUUUGCUUACUUUAACUACCUUAAGAUCAUACAUUAGAGUCAAGUUGAAAUCUUAGCUAAAAUUUUAAUGGCAGAUUAGUGUUUGCGUUGAAGCUUUGGGUCGAACUGUGAAAAUGAUUCCAGGAAGAGAAGCUAUUGAUUUUCCAUAGAAAGUUUGAAAUACUGCAUUUAUUUGUGUUGAAAUAUAUAGGAGGCAAAUGGAGAAUUUUAAAGUUGAAAAACCUAAUAAAAUCAUCAGAAAAUGUUAGUGUAUGAUGGAGCAGUUAACCCUAUCGAAUAUUAGUAGUGAAAAUGAAGUCAAGAUUCAAAAAUGAUAUCCAGAAAAGCUAAAAGUUCAAGAGUCUAAUAAGAAAGCGACAACAUUGUACCAAACAACAUAAGCAAGAAAGACACAAGGCCAUUUUAUGUUUGACAGUUUACAUGGAAUGUGGAUACGCAUAUUUUCAACUUGAUAAUUGAGUAACAAUACUUUUUUAUUGUGUUUGCACAAAAUUAGUUUUAUGCAAAAAAAUUAAAAAUAGUUAAGAGGCAUAAAAAUUUAAAAAUAGUUUUAGAAAAAGAUCACAGUAGAUUAUAUCAACUAUCCGCAAAGCACCAAGCAAGUUUUAUUGAUUUCCAAUUUUUCGGCAAAACUAAUUAAAAUAUAAUUAUAUACUACAAAAAAAGAAUAAAAUUGGAUGAUUACCAUGAUAAUGAACAUUUGCAAUAAAUUCAGGAUUUUCUCAUUGUAUUUAUAGAAUCGGAAUUCAUCAGGAAAAAUUUGAAAGCUUGCAAGGUUUCAUCUAGUGUAUUGGAAAUAAUUAAAAUGUGUCUUUUCUAUUCUUUAGUUCCUACAAAAAUAUAAGCAGAGUAAUUGACUCUUGAAGCUCAGUUACUCUUCCAAGUUGGUCCAUCCGUAUGUACUUCUUUUGAAUGUUAUUAAAUUUCAAAUAUUGUUAAUAUUGAACUUGUUACAGAAGGCUAUGGUAAUGACAAGUACAAUAGUGCUUAGGAUAGAAAAGUUAUGAUUUCUAGACUACAUUAAAUAACUUUGGACACAAUAUUAUGCUGAAAUAAUUGUUGUUAGGCAACAAUAUGAGAUUUACUUAACCCAUCAAUUUCUCCUGUACACAGGCUUACCCAAGCAAGGGGUUCAACCUGAUGUCCUUUGUGUUGAUUUAUAGCAUGCAUAUGCGCUUCACAAGGGGAAUAGUGAACUUGGUACUUCAACCUUUAAAGCUGGCCAGAUUGAAUUAAUUGGAACUUCAAUCUUUAAAGCUAGCCAGAUUGAAUUAACUACGUCACAGUUUAAGGCCAGAAUAUGAUAAAGAUAGCAUACAAUCAACUAUUCCACACACCUCAUAAUGCAUCCUUUACAACCCAAUAUUCAUCGUUUAAACUGGUACCCAGCAAUAUUUUUGUAAGCCCAUGUCUAUAAGAAAGAUUUUUAAUCAAAUAUUUCAAAUUAACAAAAUCACCUGCUCAAAUAAGCAAUCGUUUGUUUCAUAAAGGAUGACACAAAACAAAUAGCACCAAUAAACUUAAAAUAAAUGAAGCAGAAACUGAAGAAAAACUACUAAAAAGAAAAGGGAAAGGUGAAAUUUCACUUAUGAAAAUAUAGGCACUUAAAUAAAGAAAAAAUGUUGAUAGAUUGAAGGAAGGCAACAAACUGACCUUCAAGUUAAAAGAUUCCUCGAAGGAACUGCAGCAAAAGGAACCUAUGAAUUGAAAAUAUCUGUAUAUUAGAAUUUAUUAAUCUGCGAACUAUUCAUAAGAGGAAAAUUUGGCAAAAAAAAGGGGGAGUUUUUUUCUCACCAGAGAGGACUCCAAAGAACAAGGCGUAAAGGCUCGGAGGCUUCUUCUUGCAGUUCACAAGGCAGAGAAGGCAGCAGGAUGCACUGAUAAAUACGUCCAUCCCAUUUUUUUUUGAUUUCGUAAGCCACUGGAAAAGGUACAGGCUAAGUGAAUAGGAACCCUAUUUCUCAGCAUAACUGGAAUAAGAGAAAAAUCACAUCCAAGCAGAUAUUUCUAAUCGUAAUCAUACGGAUGAUGAAAGUUGAAUAGAAAGCAUAAUUUGGGCGGAAAAUUGAAUACCAAAGUUGAUUAGAAUAGAAUGGCAUACCUAAUAAAAAGUUCUCCAUCUCACUCCUUUGAAGUACAACUAUCACGUGAGGCUCCAACAAUUCGGCAACAUGAGAUGAAAUUGAUACAGAAACGGGUUAAUUGGAUAUUAGAGAAAGAGGGAAAAACGGCUAGUGUAAGCAAAGUAGUUCACCUACACCCAAUUCUCCUGCUCUAAAGUACAAAGACCAUGUGAAUGAUCAGCAAAUCAAGCACCUGCAGGAGUAGCAGCUAACCUGCUGGCUUAAAGAAGAAAGUCACAAAACCCAUCGCCCAAAUCAUAGAAAAUCCAAACUUUUUACAUGGCUGAAGAGGGUUGUUGACCUGCUGGGUUUGGUAGCACAGACGGCUGGAAUUGGGCUUGCUCAGGAUAGGUGCGCCGAAUUUGUGCUCAGAAUAGCCGUGUGGUAGAGGAAAGGGAGGAAAAGGGUUCAACGGCAAUUUGGGAAAGAGACAGUGCAAUGGCAAAAGAAGGAAAAGGAAUAGAAGGCUUGAAGAGGGGUGUUGACCGGCUGGGUUUGGUAGCAUAGCCGGUUGGGAUUGGACUUGCGCAAAAUAGGUGUACUGAAUUUUGCUCAGAAUAGGCGCGUGGUAGAGAGAGCAGGAAAACGCUUCAAUGCAAUUUGAGGGAAAAACGGUGCAAUGGCAAAAGAAGGAAAAGAAAUAGCAAGCUUCGCACAAGAGAAACUUUAGACAAUUUGCAAGGAAAUUCUUUACCUUGCCACCUGUCAGAUAAUUAAGAAGCCAUGUGGCAAGAGGAAAGGAAAGCAUUAAAUCUGGCUCUUUUCUUAUAGAAUAGGCGCGUGGUAGAGAGAGCAGGAAAACGCUUCAAUGCAAUUUGAGGGAAAAACGGUGCAAUGGCAAAAGAAGGAAAAGAAAUAGCAGGCUUCGCACAAGAGAAGCUUUAGACAAUUUGCAAGGAAAUCCUUUACCUUGCCACCUGUCAGAUAAUUAAGAAGCCAUGUGGCAAGAGGAAAGGAAAGCAUUAAAUCUAGUUCUUUUCUUACAUACAAGGUAGAUAUCAAUAGUUUUAGGAUAGUUUAGUUUAGUUUUGAGUUUUUCUUCUUUUUCCUUUUGUCAGGCGCACGCCAACUGUUCGACAAUAUUUUCCAAUGGAAAAAAUAUCUUUUACUCUUGCUUUCUAGUGAAAAACGGGAUGCCUUUGCACUCAAUUAAUUUGCAUGAAGAUUUAUUCAAGAGGCGUGGCUAAACCUUCCAUCUAGUCGAAGGCCAACUUAAAGGCGCGGUUCCAAAUAUCUGUGAGAUCGAAUUAAUUUUAUUUAUUUCUUUUAUUCAUUGGUAUUUGUACGUUUCCUGAUUUAAUUGCUUAUGCUUGUUAUGUUAUUUGAAUAUCAAUGGCCCGAUAUUCAAAUUAACUUAAUGAUCUAAUGCCAAAUUAAUUGAUUGAAUCCGUAAUUGUUCAAUUGAUUAAUACCAGUGGCGACUAGCGUGAUUGGUUUCAUGUUAGGGAAACGUAUGAUCUAAUUUAAACAAACCCUCGUAGCGUGUUUGUUGGUUAGGGUUGGGCUUUUCUAAUUAUUAAUGCAAUCGAGUAAUUAAAUCCUAUGGUCGUAUCUAGGGUUAUUACUUGGUUAGAGAAAUAGUUAACGGUCGUACCUUAAUUAUCAAAAAAUUAAGGAAAUGCUGGUUGUUCAUCGCGUGUAUGACAACUACAACCAAUCUAGUAGUGAGUAAUUGAAUUAUCUUUGCAUCGAUGAUCAGUUGAAUGGACCGUGUCUGAAAAGUUGCAUCUUUGGCUAGAGUCAUAUUGGUUAUUGAUUAAUUUCUAUUAAUUUCUAUUAGUUGUUGUAUUAGUUAGUUAAUUAGUUAUUUUAUAUUCACCAAAAAUCCCCCAUACUUUGGACUCUAAAAGAAACGAAUUAUCCCCAAUCCCUGUGGAUUCGACCCUACUCACCGCUAUAUUCAGAAUCUAUAUUUUUUUUGAGUAGGUAAUUAUUAUUGCAUAUGUUCGACACCCUGUCAAUUUUUGGCGCCGUUGUCGGGAACUGGUGCUAGAUUAAUUUGUUUCUUUUUUUUUAGUUCAUUUUAUUUUCAUUUUUUUUGUAAAUUUAUUUUCCUCAUUUUUUUUGUAUAUAGUUGAUGGCUGCUAACAUUCCGUGUUUUGGUGAUAGAUUGGAUUUUGUUUCCAGGGAAGGCAAUAAGACUUGUUUUUUUUUUUUCUAAGUUUGCAUAUUCAGAGGUACUAAACUCUCUUAGAGAAAGAAUGGCUGCUGCAACCUGUGAAAUUUGUUAUGCCUGGGAUCAUUCAACCGGUAUGUGCCCCGAAUAUCAAGACUACCUGAGUGACUAUUUCAAAAAAAAAUUUGGAGAUUCUUCACCUCGAUCUCAAACGUGGUAUGACCCUUAUUCAAAACGGUAUGAUCAAGGAUGGUGGGAUAACUCCAACGUUAAUUAUGAAAAGGGACCAAUGAGUUUUUAACAGCAAGAGUCUCAACAAUCGUCAUUCAUGUCAGAAUUGCCCUCACAGACCAUCAAUGACUCUAAGGAAGGUGAGAGUGCAAUUAUCCUGACAAGUGAUAUGGAACUGCAAGAGUCUCAAGAAGGAGGAUCCAAAAAUGCAGUUGAAAAGGAAGUUGAAGUGGAAGACAUGAGACUCCAACAUCAAAUUACCCUAGUGAACGAAUCCAGUAAGCAAUUACUAAAUGCGAUGACACCCACUCCAUCCCUUAAUCUAUAUUCCCCUGACUCUUACUCUAUAAUUUCUGUUAAUGAGAUUGAUUUUGUUAUACCGGAAGUGUUUGAGUCUCAUUGCAGAAAUGAGUUAAGAGUAGCUAAUUAGUUAUUUUAUAUUCUCCAAAAACCCCCCAUACUUUGGACUCUAAAAGAAACGAAUUAUCCCCGGUCCCUGUGGAUUCGACUCUGCUCACCGCUAUAUUCAGAAUUUGUAUUUUUCUUGAAUAGGUAAUUAUUAUUGCACAGGCUCGACACCCUGUCACAAAUUAUGCCAGAUAAAUAGUUCCAAAAUUCAAUUGAAGUUGGAGUUGUUUUAUCACCAAUUGACUGAAACUAUAGCAAAUUUAGUACUACCGAAAAAUUAUACGGACAAACAUAUUCUUAUCUUUUGAAGAUCCUUGUAAAUACUUUAUUACAAUUUUAACAAAAACAAAGCUCCCAAAGUAGUUAAAAAUGGAUCUUAAUUUAUACAAGUUAAUAACUUCAAUUUCUAAUAAUUUGUAAAAUCUUUACCUACUUAAUUUAUCAGCUAUUGCACCAAAUGAAAUGAUUGUUAGAUGUUAUCAUACAGUAGCAUUUGACAAAUUUGACCAAAACUCAUUCUUAUAUAGCAUAAAGACAUCUGGGUAUUUUUGGACUGAGGGAUUAUUUUGCAAUCAUUAGUGCAUUGGGUACAACUAAUAUAAGCAUAUGUAUUGGUGUAAUUUACUGAAAUGGUGUCAUAGUGCAAUUAAAAUAAAGAGACUUGCAGCUAUUCAUUCAAUUAUGUGAAACAACUCAUAAUAAUACCAAUGCAUGAAUUCCCAUGUUAGAAACCCCUGUCUUUGAAACAGCUUCCAUACCAGCAAUAUACCACUAUUUACAUCUCAAUUAAACAGCCAAAAACAUAGGUAUGUUGAUGAUUUAAUGUCUAAGUAUCGAUUAUGAUUGUUCCAAUGUCUCCUCUUUCACAUUCUUCCUUUUGGUCCCUUUUCGGCUUCCAGGAUUAGGUUUAAUGCCCUCUAAAUUACUCCAUUAUCCAUGCAUUUCCUUUUACUCAUAUUAAGUAGGAUUCGGUUAAUAUGCAUUAUUAUUUACAAUAAUUUUAUUAAUAUUACUUAAUAUGCAUUGUUAUCUUACUCUUAUAUUUAUUCACUUGCUCACCUUGCAACAAUAUGGAUGAUAUGUACCGAUAGGUUCUUGAUCAAAAAUAACUUAUUGGUUAAUAUGGAAAUAAUAUUCAUUUCAACCACUAAAAAAUUCUCUUUAAUCACAGGCACUAAACACCUGCGCGAUACGCGGGCACCUCCUCCUAGUAUUAGAAACAUAAAAGUUACAAGAAUUAUUUAUGUAGUUAAAACUUCUCUGAAUUGUCAAAAAAUUGCCUUAUAUGUUGAGAGUUUUUACAACAUUAUAGGAGGACUUCUUGAUGGUUUAAGCAAUGAAAUAUAUAUAUAUAUUCAAUUGAAGCAUUGACAGAUUGAGAGAGUCAAUCACCCAUUAUUUAGCACGUAUUGCUGAAAAGGUUGAUCACCCAUUAAUUUCUACGUAUUAUCUAAGUUGUAAUAAUAUGCACGAGUAAAUAGAAUAUCAGUAAGGUGAACAUACGACUUGGCUAGGAAAUUACCAUUAUCCAUGUAACUUGAAAGAAAGCGGUACAAGAAAUUCCUAUAAAUUUAUGAACAUCAACUUGUCAGUUAAAACAGCAUUUGCAUAUGGAAUUGUAAUAAAAUACCAUAAUAUAUUGUGAAAUCUCAAGCUUGAAAUGGAAAUCCAUCGGCUACUAAAGUGGAAUUGGAUCACUUUCAUGCCUUGAGAAUUCAGAAUGCAGAAUGGACAUUUUGAUACUGCCAAAUACAAAGUGAAGCUUCAAGUGAAAACAACUACGCUAACGGUUUCCCAACUUCAACUAAAACUCUCUACUCUCAACUUGAGAUCAUAUACACACGAACCCCACAAGAACUGCUGCUUAUCAACCGACAAACGAAAAAAGAAAUGAUGCUUUACCAAAACUUGGGAUUUGCAAGCGAUUUAGACCAAGAAAACAUAAGUUAGAAGCCAAAGAAGAAUACACAGAGAGCAGCCACACUACAAAAUAUUUGGGAGCUGAGAAUCCAAUCUUUGCUGCAAUUCCUUGAUUUUCAUGGAGAGCUCAGACUUCUGCUCCUUAUAGUUCUGCAAAAGGUAGUCUUUUCCAUCUAUAACUUCCCUCAACUCAUUAACUUCCCUUCGCAGCAUUUCAAUUUUGCCACCGUUUCUGUCUUUCUCCAAGGAAUCCAAAUGUCCCUCAACUUCGGAAUACUCAUUCAAAUGGCCAUUCCUUAGUUCAGCAGGCCAAACAGGUGCGGAGCUAAGCUUAUCACCACAAUUGUCUUGUCCCACACAAUGAUCUGCAAUUACUUUCCUCAACCUCUGUAUUUCUCUCUCUGAGUCAAACAGAUCUCUGUUUGCAGCAUCUAGCAGUGCUUGCAGCUGGGUAGAGUGUGUUAGCUGAGUGCUGAGGGAAUUCUGCAGUUCUACAAUCUGAUCUUGCAUCUCUAUUAUCAUGUCAUCCCGUCUCUUCAGCUGUUGCCUCAGCUUCUGAAUCACUUCUCGAUUACUGAAAAUGUCAGAACCAGCUUCAGAGACGCAAGGUGAAUCAGAACUGUUAGAAUGGUGGAAUGGUUUCUGAGGAAGCUCAAGGCGGUCAGGAGAUGACGCCCAGAUUACCCCAUUCUCUUUGCUGAACUCAGAAGAAGAAACUUUAACAAGAGGCAGUGCCAUUUCAGGUUCUGACAGAACUUGGCCAUUGCGCUGCUGUUUGAUCUCCAUUACAUUCACAGAUCCUAUUCAUUAAUCAAUUACCAGAAAUUACACAAAAUGAACCAGAGAAUUAUAUAGGGACAUAAAUAAAAUCCUGAAUACAUCCAGAAUCAGCAAAAAGGUCUUUAAGUUUUCAUGGAACUACAUAAAAAAAAUUUUGAGGAGAUAUUCCUUAUAAUACAGAAAGACAAGAAUCUAAGAUGUGAAGCAACCACUCCACAAAGAACAGCAGCAAGACCAAUAUAAACCUAAAAGAAGGUGGAGGUAAACAUAUACCGGACAAUCAAUAUCCAGGAGAAAUUUAAAAGACAAAUCAAGCAAUUUUUCAUUUUUCAUUCAGGAGAAAUUUAAAAGACAAAAGAACCAUUUUUCAUCUUUGAAGUGUCAAUUCUAUGAAAAUUGUGCAAAACAAGCAAAUGCAUCUUAUUUCUCGGACAUAGUUGUAAGAAUACCCCCACAUGUAUGAAACAGCACCGAUUGCAUGCCCUACCAAAGUGUGCAUCAAGCAACAACCAUGUUCAGCUGGAGCAAUAACCUAUAUACCAAAAAUCUGAAUGGAUAUUUGUUCUAAAAAAGGAAAAUAACUUCCAGCUGAAGGGGAAUUAAGGCUAGAGAGAAGCCAGACCAGAAAGGCAAUUGCAGCAAGCAUUCCCAUCUUGAUGAAAAGAAUAUGCAUUUGGAUGCAAACUGCAGCUCCCUGACUUCUUUCUCUCUGUAAAUUUUCCACUCCCUGAAUUGUCAAACAACUCUUCAAGACAAAACCAUGAAGAAAUAUGAAAAGGAGAAAUGAAAUUUAUUCAUAUGUCAUAUAACCUUUCAAGCUGUUGCUGGUAUUGUCCGGUGGCUUCAUGUCAAGCACCUGUUUCAGCUUGUAACCCAACCUAAUCGAUAACGUACUUAGCAAAGCACCACCAGCAAUAAGGACCCAAUUAGGCCCCUCGCUCUGAAAGCCUUUCUGCCUCUGGGUUCUAGGAACCCCAUUUGCUAUUGGUUUCAUUGCUGGAAGGUACUAAUAAGAUUGCUCGGGACAACCAAGUGCAUCCAGGACCUAAAUAGAAAUGGACCACAUACAUUUGGUGAGAAAAAGAAAGGUAGCGGGCCACAAUGUAGAUCUAGGGCUGCAAAAACAGUGGGUUUUUUUUAUUAAAUACAUAAUACUGCUAAUAAUCAAGCACAAAUUUUGCAAACAGUAAACUGAUGCCUUGUUACAGAGUUUGCCAUCCCUGGUCAUAAAGAAGUUCAAUAUACCAAAGCCAAAAGGCUCUGUCUGUUUUUCUAGAUUAUUUACUUCACUAACUUCUUGUGAUUGAGCAAAAGGACACAAAAGGGGAACACGAAUGCCAAUUUGGGAAUUGAUACAAUUAAAAUGCUGUUUCAUUAAAUUAUCGAAUUUGACAACCUACAUUUCCAUCACAAAUUUAUCACAGUAUCCGACUAAAGCCAAAAACACACAAUACUUGACACACACCGGCGUAAUAAUAAAUUAAGCCCGUUAAAAAAAGUACACAGAGAAAUCUAAACCAGUCCUUCCUUUAUUCAUCCCAUCAUCAAGCACAUUUCCAUUAUAAUCCACCCUUUCCAACGCUGAAAUUUCUGCAGACAACCACUUAAAAAAAGCCACAAAAGUACGCAACUCAAAAAUGGAAAAAAACACAAGUACUAAAAAUGAGGAAGAAUACGAGGCAGAGGAGUCCGUGUAUAUGAAAGAUGUACCUGACAAAGAAAGAAAGAAAAGGCUGAUUGGGGAUGAGGGCGGGGCACGGUGAGGCCGGCGGAGAACGGGAGGAUCACGGUGGAGCUGGAAAUGGCGGACGACUGGGGAGAAUGUGAACGUACAUUAUUUUAGGGUUUUGUCAGCCUAAAUUGGGAAUAGAAUGCUGAUACUUGGUGGGUUUUUGGCAUGAAGUGUUUAGAGUGUGCUGGACCAAUAGGCUUAACUGUCACAUUUCUUCUUUUAUCUUUUCUCUUUUAUUAUGUAAACUGUUUUUUCUUUAUGUCUCCACACUUUUUUUUUUUUUUUUUUUUUUUUUUUUUUUUUAUCGUCAUAGAGGUAUCUGGUAAUAUCUAAUGACCCAACUAAUCCUCGGCGGGUAGGGAGAGGCUACCCAACUUUUUCACCUACCGUUUUACCCGGGGUUCGAACCUGUGCGGUGAUACUCCCCGAGGGUACUACCACCAGCUCUAGCCCUGAGGGGCUUUUUUGUCUCCACACUUUAAAGUUGAGAUUUAUUAUGUAAACUGUUUUUCCUUUCUCAUUGUCUCUACCCUUUUAUUAACUUUUAAUUUUUCUAUAUUUAUGUCACAUUAUUUUGUUCAAGUUUAAAUAACUGGACUUAAGGUGCGUUUGAUAAAACUGAAGUCUGAAAAUUGAAGUCUAAAAUCUGAAUCCAUUAAGUUAUUAAAUUGUUAAAUAUUAAAUCUAAUACAUUUGAGUGUAUAUCACAUUCAGUGAUAAGUGAAUGACUUAUCACUUAUCACUUAAUUUUGGGAGCAAAUUUUAUUUAGAAAAUUCAGUGUCACUUAAUUAAUUCAGAUGUUCAAUUUUUGGUUAUCAAACGAUCUGAAUAUAUUAAGAUUUGAAUUUAUUAAAUUUAAGUGCUGAAUUGGAUUCUAAAGAAGUGAGAAUUUGUGUAAUUCUUGAAAUUAAAGUUGACAAAAGAUCACAGUUGAUAUUUUUUUAAUGUGCGCUUGGAGGCUUUACGUCGAUGAAUGUGCGUUACACCAGUGCAUAUGGAGUUAAGCGGUACGAGUUUCUCAACUUUCAAGUGUAAAUUUCAAAGACAUAAGGUCCACAGAUUUUGUGCGAUUUGAGUUUCUCAACUUUCAAGUGUAAAUUCCGUUGGAGAAAGUAUAUAGAUUUUGUACUUUAGAGAUUGUUGGGUGAUUGAUAAUUUUACAUGCGAGAAAUUUUGAGAAUCUCACCAUUGGAAAAGUUUGAAAAGUUGGAGCAGUGACUGCAAUUAAGCCAAAUCCUUGUGUUUUUACACGUAGAAAGCCUUAAAAAAAACAAAAAAUUAUUGAUUCCUUGUUGUUGUUAUUAUUUCCCAGGAGACUGCAGGGGACACAAUUAUUUCACCACAUGGACGAAAGUAUCCCAUAACAACGCAGAGAAACACUAAAGUGGGCUUCUCUUGCAUACAUUUUUUUUUAAUAGAACACUACUUUAUAUUAGGAAAAGGAGACUUAAAGAGUUUCAAAAUAAUCUGGAGGUGACUAAAUUAUCACCGAUUCAAACGGGUGCGUAGGCACACAUUGACGAUAUUUCAGAAAAGUCUGAAUUUUUAGAAUGUAGACAAGAGAAUUUGAUCAUUUGACCUACACCAAAAUAGAGUUUAAAAACUUUUUUGAUGGCCAACUACUUUAUAAGUAGUUGAUUGCUUCUUUAGCUUACAUUGCUUUGGUUGAAAUUCAUUUUUGACAAGCUGUAAUAACUCAUUUUCCGUUGGCAUUUAACAUGGAAAUAUUACUAUCUAGUACUUGUUAUUAAUAAUAAAAUGCAGUCGAAUUGAUAAGUACAGGUUCAAGUCAUUAAGGAGAUAAGUGAGAAGUAAUUGUUAAUCAUUUUAAAAGCAAAAAAAGAUGCAUUCAAGGAGACAAGAAGAAUGUGUAAGAAAGAAAGUUGAAAUCUUUUGAAAGAAAGGAAAAAAAAUAGAUGCAUUCAAGGAGACAAGGAAAGUGUGUAAGAAAGAAAGUAGAAACAAGUGCAUUUAGAUAGGAGAUUAUUUGAGAUAAUUUUUUUUUGAGAAAAAUUAUAGCAAUUUUUUAAUAUGAUGCAUGCAAAAUAAAAAAGAUGAUUGAAAAAUAUGUUUAUGAUGCAAGCAACUAAUUUUGUUUAAAUAACAAACUUAUCAAACAAACCCAAAAAUUUCGUCUAAUUCUUAAAGGUAGAAACUAGAAUUUAACUUACCAUAAUAAACUCUUUUAGAUUUCAGUAUGACAAAGCUCAUAAAGAAAAAUGAAGAAUCAAGAGGGCAAGAGAAAGAAGAGAAGGAGAAAAUAACCUGUUAAUACUUAAAUUUCUUACUAUUAUUGCGAGUUAUAUAGAACUUUUCUUUCGUUUCUUUUCUAAAUGAACUAAACAACGGUUGAGCUAAAGGGGGAACAAAACCAUAUAUUUGAUUAUAUACGAAAACAAACAAGAAAAUCCAAAAAAACCAAACAAGUUAAAUAAUUUCUUACAUUCUUUUUGUUCUAACACAUCUUUCAAUGCCCAAUUUAACGUCCAGUUGCAAUCUUGCUUAAAUUAGAAAGAGGUGGCUUCUUGGUUUUGUAUUGUAAAGAUUGCCAUGAAAAUACUAAGGGAACAUUUUGGAACAAUACUAAUAAAUCACGUGAUAUUUAUAUUUAAUUUUGAAGUGAAAGUUACUUUUCCAUGUAUAUUUGAUUACAGAUAAAAUUUUAAAAGAAAGUAAGAAGUUAGUGAAUUUAAUGAUAGUUAUUAAAAUUCUUGUGUGUAUUUGCAAGAUACAAAAUGUAGCAAUAUCCAAGAAUAUAAAAAAUAAAAGAAAUUAACUCUUCAUCACUUUCAUAUUUUUCCCUACGGGUAAAGAACUACUGAAUGUGUUUGGACAGGAGAUUAUUUGAAUUAUUAUUUACAAUAAUUGCUAUAGCACUUUUAUAAUGUGAUUUAUGUGGAAUAAAUCAAUCGUUAGAAAGAUAAAAUAUUGAUUAAAAAGCGUAUUUAUAACAUAAGUAAAAUAGCAUUUUUCCUCACAACCAAGUGGCAAACACUAUAUGUGAGCUAAUAAUUUCUUGCACAAUUUGUGAAACUUGCUAAGGUAUACAAAACUGUGGUACUGAAAUUGAAGACAAAUAUUUCCCAACAAAAUUAUUGGAGCAAAACUGUAAGAUUGAGACAAAUCGGUCCAUUUUCUAAUUUCCAAGGACUGUUUGGGAGUUUUGCAAUUUUCCACCGACAUUUUUCUUGAAAAACAUAAGCGUAAAUACUUGACUAUCCCGUGAAAAAACAAAAAAGACCCAAAAUCUGAUGAAUGAAAGCAGAUUCCGCCAAAACUGCGGCUGGAUUGCACACGUCGCCCCGCAUUUAACCUCCUCUUAUCGAAAGCGAUAUGAGUCAGACAUUCAGAUGUCAUUUUCCUACACUACAGUUUCCCACCACAACUGCACCCUUGUGACUUUUGACUGAUAAGAACUGGAAGAACAGAACUCUCGUAUUUUCUCAGCUCUUUUUUCCCUUCAUUCUUCGAUCAAGAUGCUUUUCUUUCGCUAGAUUUAGCUGCAUUUAUGACAAUGUUUUGAGUAUAGGAACAUUUUUCUACACGUUGCUACUGCACUUUUUCUUUUUCCCCUACAACAAAAGAGCAGCCUUACUUGCUAAUUGCUUUUUUGCUAAUUGCACUUUUUCUUCCAUUGCCAUAGUCACUUCUUCCAUCCAGAAAUUCAUCAUUUCUCAUCCUAAGAGGGAGGCAAAAAUCUGGGUUGGAGUUAGUUUACACUGUUAUUGAAAGUUCAAGAUCAAGAAUGGGAAAAUUUGGGCCUAAAGCACCUGCAUUUUCCUCUAUGUUGCUUUGUCUUGCACUGUUGUCAAGUUUUCGUAUCACUCAUCAAGCACAGCAGCAGCCCAUUAAGACAGUUGUUGUUCUAGUCUUGGAGAACAGAUCUUUUGAUCAUAUGAUUGGAUGGAUGAAGGAUUACAUCAAUCCAUUGAUUAAUGGUGUAACAGGGGAUGAGUGUAAUCCUGUUUCAACUAAGGCUCAACAAACUCAAAGGAUCUGCUUUUCUGAUGAUGCUGAAUUUGUGGAUCCGGACCCUGGUCACUCGUUUGAAGAGGUGCUGCAACAGGUAUUCGGUUCUGGUUCAAUUCCUUCAAUGACUGGCUUUGUUGAACAAGCACUAACCAUGUCGGAGAAUCUGUCUGCAACAGUUAUGAAAGGUUUUAAGCCUGAGAAUUUGCCUGUUUAUGCUGCACUAGUUCGUGAAUUCGCGGUUUUUGAUAGAUGGUUUUCUUCAAUUCCUGGUCCUACUCAACCUAACAGGCUGUUUGUUUACUCUGCUACUUCUCAUGGCUCAACUAGCCAUGUGAAAAAGCAGUUGGCUACUGGAUACCCUCAACAGACUAUAUUUGAUUCGCUUCAUGACAAUGGAUUGGAUUUUGGUAUAUAUUUUCAAAGUUUUCCAACUACUUUAUUCUUCAGGAAUUUGAGGAAACUGAAGUAUAUUUUUAAGUUGCAUCAGUAUGAUCUGAGGUUUAAGAGGGAUGCAAGAAAUGGAAAAUUGCCAAGCCUGACUGUGAUUGAACCUAGGUACUUUGAUCUAAUCGGUUUUCCAGGAAAUGAUGAUCAUCCAUCGCAUGAUGUUGCUAAUGGGCAGAAGCUAGUGAAAGAGAUUUAUGAGACAUUGAGAGCAAGUCCUCAGUGGAAUGAAACUCUUUUCAUCAUCACUUAUGAUGAACAUGGUGGUUUUUAUGAUCAUGUUCAGACUCCUUAUGCUAAUGUUCCCAAUCCUGAUGGAAAUACAGGACCAGCUCCUUAUUUCUUCAACUUUGACAGACUUGGUGUUCGUGUUCCAACAAUUAUGGUGUCUCCUUGGAUCAAGAAAGGAACUGGUAAAACUCACUUCAUUUUCUAAGGCUUCUUUGCUCUUCUGGCGCAAAGAACUGUAUGAUGUUGUAUCUCAAAUUUACAAAUAGAGAAGGGUAAAGUCCAAUGGUAACAAAACUUAAAGAGUUCGCAGACAAUUACUGACAUUUAACUCAACUAUCAUAUAGGACUUAUUGAUUCUUUAGCUUGAUGGAUUAGAAGGAAAUGGAUAUGGAGAAUAUUUUUUCAUUCUUUGUCUAUAUAUGGAUCAGAAGAAGGAAAAAACGAUGAAGAGAAAGCAUAAAGAGUAGUUCUGUUUCUAAAAUGGUCAUGAACUUUAUGAUAUUUAUGUGUCAGGAUACAGCAAGAUGUUGUUUGUUGUAUUACCAAAAUUUCCUCAUCUCAGUUGUAGUAGGUAAGCAGCAGUGGCAUUGGCACAUGAGCACAUGGCUAUCUGAAAAUUGAAAUUCCAUUGAUUUCUUCAUACAAUCAUAUUCAAAUGGUUUUUUUUUUUUUUAAUUUCUAUAAUGUUUUAGUGACUGCUAUUCUCAUGUUAGGUUUUUAACCAAUAUAAUUCAUAAGAACUAUUAUAAUAUUCUACAGUUUCAUGAAGCUAGUGGGUCAUGGUUUUCUUCCAAUUGAACAUAUAUAAGCUGGGCAUCAAACCUGGUUUGCAUAAUCCCAGAAAAGGAAUAUACUGGAAAAGGUCUGCUCUUUCUAUUGUCUCUUUUGUUUCAGCAAGUUGCUGAUCUUGUCCUGUUUGCAGUAAUAAGCAGGCCAAAUGGACCUACUCCAAACUCUGAGUUCGAGCACUCCUCGGUCCCUGCUACCAUAAAGAAGAUUUUCAAUCUCUCAUCCAACUUCUAGACGCAUAGAGAUGCAUGGGCAGGCACUUUUGAACAGGUUGUUGGGGAAUUGACCUCCCCAAGAACUGAUUGCCCUGGUAAGUUAUGCCUGCUGAAGAUAUUAAUCAAGUUAUAUUUCAAGUGUUAGCUUAUCGAUCAAUCAAAGGGACUGCUUAGAAAAACAUACAUAAAGCGCUAUUAGGAGAUAAGAUUUUGAUCAACAAGGUGGUCUUCCAUGAGAGAUUGAUAUGCCUUUGAGUUGUAAAACUUUAUAAUUACUCCCAGUUUUACACCCUUUCUGCCAUUUUUCUAUUAGAUUAGAAUUAAGCUUGCUAAGAAUUACUGAAGAGGUUUCCUCUUAUCAAAUGACAGAGGUCCUUCCUGAUGCUUUUCCAUUGAGAAGCACAAAAGCAGAUGAAAAUAAAAGACUCUCUCAGUUCCAGGGAGAAGUAGUGCAAUUGGCUGCUGUUCUGAAUGGUGACCAUUUCUUGAGUAGCUUCCCAGAUGACAUGGGCAAGAAAAUGAAUGUUAAAGAAGCUCAUGAAUACACUAAAGGUGCAGUAUCAAGAUUCAUAAGAGCAAGCAAAGAGGCAAUCAAGUUAGGAGCAGCUGAAUCUGCCAUUGUGGACAUGAGAUCUUCUCUCACUACUAGAUCCUCAAAUCACAAUUGAUGAAUCUUGUAGGCAUCUCCUUCGUCCAUCUUAGUAUUUAUGCCUACAGAUUUCAUUAGGCUUCUAGUUCAUAUUAGCAAAGUCCACAGAACAAAUCAUAGCAAAACUUAUGUAUAGUAUGACUGUCAGGUUUAGGUGAUUGUUUCUGUUCUUAACUGCAUUUCUUUAGGAGGUCAUAGAAGCAUAUGAAACAACUCAAUAUGUCUAUUACUAGCUCAUAACUUUGAGUUCCAGGAAUUGGAGUCUGACUGUCCGUUUGUUGUAGUUAUGUUUGUGAAGUUUGAGGCUAGAGCACCCGUUAAAGCUAAGGGCAAGUAGUUUUUGCUCUUUCUGUAAACAAUGGACAGUAAUACAACAUUUCCUAUUAUACUCAGCAAAAUGGCUUGUUCCUUCUUUGCUUGUAAAUUUUGCAGCAAGUCUCCUUAUUGUACAAAACUGGUGACUAGUGUGCUAUUCUAUCAGUAUAUAUGGCACAAGGUAGGGGAAAUCAUCUUUAGCAGCUAUCUAUAUUCAAGGUUAUAUUCAGGCAGUGCUAGCUGCGACUUUGCAAAACUAUAAGAACAGUUCCAUCAGUCCUAUCCGGCUCCUCAAUGAAUCCAGUUUGUGCGCCAAGCAUUCCAAGCAACAACGGAUUGUUUUAAACACCAGAUAAAGAUCACUGGGACUAAUUUGACCAUGCAAGAUCCAAGCUUUUGAAUUAUUGUCAGAACUUGAUGCAAAGGUGAUCCAGAUAACAAUUUUGCAUUGUUAAUUCUAGGUGAAACAAUAUGAUUUAGUGCUUCUUAUAUUAUAUGACCAUCAGGCCAUAUUUCAUGAAAAACAUUUUCAACCUGAUCUGUUCUGAACAAGACUACUGAGAAAGAACAAACCCAAUAUUAUUAUUUAUUGGUACAUGGGAUUAAUAACUUGGACAUGGGAUAAUCGAGACAAUCACCUGCAUCACUAAACUCUACUAAUUUCACUUUUGAAUGAUUAGGUAAUGCUGAAUGCAGUAGUUCUUUUUGACCUCUGACAUGAUAAAAAAAUGACCAGUUCGAGCCAGAACCAGACAUGAUCAAGACGUUUCACUACCAAAAAUUAAAAAAUUUUAAAGCAAAUGAGUUAAUGAAAUUACUUAGUAUAUGCAGUUUGAACGUAAAAAAGGCUAAAAGAAAGGUCAAGUUCAUCUUUAAGAUAUGCAUUAUGCAUAUAAUUUAGAAAAUUAAUCAUGUACUCUAGGAUCAUCAUCAAAAAACACCAAGAACUAAUAUACUAUUCGCUCAUAGGUAUAAUUCUCAAGAACAAAGUUUUGGUUUUACAGCCGUGCUUAAAUCAGACAUUAGUAGUGACUUUCUUAUCAACGAUGAUGUUUUCUUAUCAUAAGAAAUCACCAUCGGUAGAUUUUAAAUUUUUUUGUUUGUUGUAAAAUCUAAAAAACAAACAAGUAUAUGAGAGCAACUUACUCUUCAAAAUUAAAGUAUAAAAUCAUGCGAAAUAAUCAAAUGAGAAGGCCUUUACACUAAAUUUGUUUUGCAUGGUAAGGUAAAACAUGAAGGACUAAAUUGUAACUAUUACAAAACAUAAGGGACCUAGAAUACAAUUUUUCCCUUUCUCGUCUUGCUUUUACACCUAUCUCUUCAUCAUUCGAGGCCCAUUUUAUCCCCGGUUAAUUCCCAAUAAAAUUAGGGCACGGCAGCUGCUGGGGAAGCUAUUCUGCACCACCCUUUCUAUUUCCCUCGAUUCCCAUUCCAGGUGAAAUUUCAGUUCUACCAUUUAUAGCAAAUAAAUAAAUCACCGCAACAUUAUAGUCUUUGUGCUAAUCUAGGUUAUGGUAAAUUAAUUACCAGAUAAUUAGCAUUGUUUUUGGGCUUGGUAUUGAUAAUUAGCAGUAUUUCUGGAUUAAAUUUGAGAUAUUUAGGAUAUUAUUAUUGUGCUAAGUUGUAGCAAAUGCAGCAGUUUGUUAGUUAGAUUCCAAGCUUGUUCCUUGGCUCGCUCACUUGUGAUUUUGGGCUUUCCUAGUCAUUGGAAAAAAUUUUGAGAUUAAUAAUGUUCAGGUUUCUGAAUUCUGGUUUCGAUUUUUGGAGCAAUAAAAAUUCAUAUACUGUCAUCUCAUCUCGUGAUUAGAGUGUAUAACAGUGAUUACUGAUCGAAAGAAGCAGCUAAUGAUUUCGAUUUCGUGUGUUAUUGAAUAUCUUGGUUAUUUAAUUUUUCUAAUGGAAGUAAUUUGUUUUGAUGGUAUUGGUUAGAUUGUGCCAAGUUGCCUUGUUAUAAGGGAUUUAGUUUGGACUCAGGUGUCUUGUGGAGCGAUUGAUCGUUCUCUUCAUGAUGAUUCAGUUGUUUCUUUCGGCUUCUAAUUGGAGCAAUGAUGGGAACGAUGAAUUGUUUGAAAAGAGGAAAGCACUUCUUAGGGAGCUAGAAUCAGUUUUGUGGUUGUUAAUGACUUCAGGGGGCCGUUCUGAAGUUCGACUUUGGCUCUGCAACACUAUUGCGGGCAUAAGUUCAAUCAGUCCCCACCAUCAGCAGGAACUCUUUGUGAGGUUAUUAACAGCUCAUACGGCAAAGCGACGCCUAGCAUCCCAAUUUCUUCAGUUGCUUUUUGAAAAGGAGCCCAAAAAAGCAGGGCGUAUUAUUGCAAAGAAAAGCUCCAUGUUGGAGAAUUUCUUCAGAGGCAAGUUACUGUGCCAAGGAAACUUUGGUUUGUAUUUAGGUUCCUCUGCUAAUUAUUGUUAAAUGCAGGAAACCCGAGGCGGAUCUUGCAGUGGUUCUCUAAUUUUAGUGGGGGCACUGGCUUGGGGCACAGAAAGGGGGCUAAGGCUUUAUCCCAUUAUGCUUUUGUGCAUCGAGAUGUUUGUUGGGAGGAACUGGAGUGGAAGGGAAAGCAUGGCCAGUCACCUGCAGUGGUUGCUACGAAACCUCAUUACUUUCUUGAUUUGGACGUCCAACGCACAGUAGAGAAUUUUCUUGAAUAUGUGCCAGAGUUUUGGUCAUCCAGCGAAUUUGCUGAGUCAUUGAAGGAUGGAGAGAUAUUGAAAAUAGAUAAAAAGUUUUUUGUUAAUAUGUUCGUAAAUUUGAUGUAUAAGGAGGACAUGAAAGAACUAUGGGGCAUCAUAGAUGAAUUUCUAAUUAAGGAACCCUUCUCCUCUCUGUGCCAUCACCUUCUUAUCAUUCUUGAAGAGCAGGAGUUAUCAUACUUUAUGGACUUGAUCAGUAAAUUUCUUAAAUCAAGGUCUGAAGUUGUUGAGUAUGACAGUCCGUCUUUUUGGCUUGAAGUUAUACUAUCAAAGUGCAGUAUUACUUCUAUUGAUCAAUUACUACUGUUAAAUGCCAUGACUAGUCAAGCACGCCAGCUUCUGCGACUUGUUCGUGAAGAAGGUAAUCUGGAUGAAAAAGAAAAAGUUAAGAAUAUAGUUUCUCAGGUUUGUUCUUCUUCAAGUCGUGCUGAUAGUUUGGCUCCAAUUAUGGAUGAAUGGUCCAAGAAGAAAAAUUUAGAGUCAAUAAGAUGGUUAGGAUUGCAGUCUUGGGCAAUCUUUUUUAGGUUGUCGGAGGAAUUUCGGACAUCUGAGUCCUGGGAGUCCUUAUUUUCUAGCAACGGCAUAGGUUUUCGAAAGUCUGACAAGUAUAGAUUGCUAGAAGAUGACGAAUAUUCAGAAGAAAGUGAAUCUGAUUGGGAUGACAGGCCUUCAGGUAAAGUUAGGCAUAAGAAGAAAGGAAGGCAUAUUAAGAAAAGGAGAAGAAAGCAUAAAUUAGAAGAAAGCCAUGGUGAACGAUUGAUAGAUCUGGAUGUGUCAGAUAACGGCCUGGAUUUGCAAUUUAAGGCAGGUGACUGGUUGCUGUCUACUGAUCAGUAUUCUACUACAUGGAGCAGUGUAAGUUAACUUCAAUCUUGCUCUAAUCUCUCUUGAUUUUGCAAUAGGAUUGCCUCGAAUUCUCUUUUUAAUCUCUUUUCAAAUAGGUCAAUAUAGUCACAUGUUCUGCAAGUUAGUGAAUGCAUUUUGUCAUCCAUUUGUUAGACUAGGGGCAGUCAGAUAAUCUGCCAAUUAGUUCAUCACUUAGAUGUAGCUAAGAAGACUACCUUAAUCUUCUAUUGCUUAAUUUAUGGUUAUUGGUUUAUUUUUUUUUUGCCUGGUGAGCUGUUUAUUUGUACAGUGCUUUCUGUCCCUUCUUCCUUCUCCCUUCUCUCAAUGCAUGUUCUAUACUGUUGUAAACCCCCUUCCCCCAAAAAGAAAAUGGUCCAUUUCCACAUUUUAUGAUUGGUGUUAAAUUGUUUUAGUUCUCUCUCUCUCUCUCUCUGUGUAUAUAUAUAUAAAUAUAUAACGACUUUUUUUUUUUUGGGUGCAGGUAGACCUGCCGGAACAUAUAUCGAAGCAUUGCUUCUAUACAUGGAUAAAAUUUGUUAUUACCUAAAUUUGGAGACAUGGAUUCUCUCUGCAUGCUGUGUUAGAUUAUUCAGAGUUCUGAUGGGGGACAUGCACUAUACACUAUCUUAUUCAAGUUGGAGAAAUAAGGUGUAAAGGUUUGUUAAAACGAAAUGUCAUGAUUCUUCCCUUUCUGUCAGCUGUAAUUUUUUUUCAAGUCAUAGUUAUUCUGAUCUAACGAUUGAGGUAUUGUUGCGACGUGAAGGAAUUCAAGUGGAUCAGAAGAUAGCUCUACAUUCUUGGUCAUCCUCUCUGAAUGCCACUUUGUGAUCCUUGGGCUUUCAUGCAUCAAACAGUAUGCUUCCUUGUUCUCUUAAUUUUUGUUCUGGAGUCAUUUCUUAGUUAUGCUUUGUGGUCUGAUUCGGGGCUCAAGAAUUUGACAUCCUGAACUGAUUAGUGUUGUGUUAAAUGACUACCUGGGUAAAAUUCUUCGACACAAGUCCUUACAAUGAUUAAAAUGCCUAGCCCCUGCCUCCUCACCCUCAACUCCCAGUCUCCCGCCCCUCGUUUCUACCUCCCUUUUUCCCUCUUUUCCAUACCUCUUUCUAGGCUUGCCUUCAUUUUCCACUUGUCAUAACAGAUGGCACAAGAACCUAAUAUAUUAAGUGGCAAUCCCAUCAUCUACACUGCCUAAUCAAAUUAUACUGAUAACUCCGGAUAUCAUUUAAAAGCACUGUUUGAAUCCUGUGCCCUCCUGUUUUCCCCUUGCCAUUUCAUGUCAUAUCCCAUGGAAGAGCAUGCCACUCUUGAUUAACCUUGAUGACUGCGUCUGUUGGUUUAAAGUCUUCAGUUCUAAGCAAAAUGCUAGCUUUGACAAGUUUUUUUGGUUUUUGGAUUCACAGGUGUAUCUUUGCUGCGUUGCUUUUCUUCAUUCAUGGAAGGAAUGCUGCUCUCAGGCUGAAGCUCUAUGAACAUCAUACAACCUAUCAUGGCUUGAUGCUCGACAGUCAUAAGCAUUAGUAAAGAAAACAAAUAUCUAGUUUAGGUCAUUUAGUUCAAUGACGGUGCUGUCAUGUUGUGUGGUUUAUUGUACAGAGCUUUAUUAUCAGCUUCAAAGUAGUGAAAAACUAGAUUUGUAUACACAAGUGGGUAUUGCAAAGUUUGUUAUCUUUUUUUUUUUUGGGAUUAUUUCCCGAAUGUUCUGGAUACAGUAACCUCUGACUUCAACUUCUUACAUCGUCAUUAUUAAGGAAAAUUAAAAGAAUGAGAAGGAAGAAAACCCGUUAUCCCUCUUACCCUGAAGUACGAUUUGCUUGAAUCAUAUGAAAAUUUCUCAAUUUGAGACUCUCUACUGCGUCAUUGUUGCUGGGCCAAAGCACAGGAACUUUUAAACCAUAAAACGCCCUGAAUGAUUUUGAAUCAAAUUGAUAUAGAUUUCUUGCAUCCUAUUUUCCUCCUCCUUUUAUGUCUUCCUCUUCUUUCCUCUCCUUUCCCAUUUUGAACUUUUUAUUUCACCUAUUACGAAGCAGCUUACCUAAAGCAAAGUUUAACUUUUACAGAAAAGUAGUGUUCCCAAAAGCAAGAAAUUAGUGCCAGCAACACAAACCGGAAUCCCUUCUUGUUUCUAGCAAUUUAAUUGACGCAUGCUGAUUGCUCCAAACGUAGAAAUCUGUGUUGUGCAGAACUUCACAGAUCUAUCCGCAAACAGAAAAAAGAGACUUCCCACACAUGGUUUAGGCUCCCAUUCUCAUUCUUUCCAGUUAGCAACCGAAUGCAACUCAUAGAUGAGAUGAAAAGCAUUUCAAAUACUUGCUACUACACUGAAAUUAAACAUUUACAAAAUGUAACUUCACUAAUGAUCUUGUGUAAUUCGAGCUGCCACUGGCCAACCUUGCCAGAACUUGGAAAUAGCCUAAAGAAAAUUGACAGAUAGCUAUAUAAUUUCAAUCAUCAUCUUCCGGGUCAAAAUCUUUAAUCUUCACAUCAGCAUCUUCUCCAUACUGAAUGCAGUUAUCAAUUUGUGACAAGA